rnacentral:lncRNA from 1 species
AUGCCAGACACACAUGACAAUGAGACCAGAUCAUGGCACACUCCUGGCUGCUCUCCCCUUGAGAACUCAGCUGGAAGGAAGAACUGCCAACGCUCUACAGGACAGAUAAGACAGCCCCAACCCAUUCCCCACCAUGGUCUCACACCAUACCAGAAGAUGACACGGUUGGGUUAUGAUGGGCAUCUCCUGGCCACCAGGGAGACCUCAGAGCAGAGCAAGCCACUGAAGGAGAAGAAAGCACACAAGGACCCCGCCUCUACCCUGCCAUGGUCCUACAAGCAGACCAACGGGCUCCGCGCCUUUGGACAUUGAGAGCUCGGCACGCCUCUCCGCCAACUCACCCCACCCCACGUCUCUCUCAAACGUUGCUUAAAUAAAGGUUCUGAUUCACAACCUCA